rnacentral:rRNA from 1 species
UACGUAGGGGGCAAGCGUUAUCCGGAUUUACUGGGUGUAAAGGGAGCGUAGGUGGCUAGGUAAGUCAGAUGUGAAAGCCCGGGGCUCAACCCCGGGAUUGCAUUUGAAACUAUUUAGCUAGAGUGCAGGAGAGGUAAGUGGAAUUCCUAGUGUAGCGGUGAAAUGCGUAGAUAUUAGGAGGAACACCAGUGGCGAAGGCGGCUUACUGGACUGUAACUGACACUGAGGCUCGAAAGCGUGGGUAGCAAACGGG